rnacentral:tRNA from 1 species
UACAUUAUUAGUAUAUUAAGUAUUCUGUCUUUCCAAGUCAGGGGUCCACUUUUGUGGGUAUUGUAU